CCAUGAGGUUCACAUCAUGGGGGAAAAGACAUACAGAACCCAAGAACAGGUAGGAUGCAAUUACAAGGAAAGAGUGAGAGGGACAACAGUUAGGCACAGAGCGCUCAUGGGCUGGUGCAUGGGCUGCAGCAACCCAAUGAAGACCACGAGUAUUCUCCCCUUUUGUCGACGAGGAAACUGGGCACAGCCAGUACCUGCUUUAACUACCACCAUCCCUUCCUCUCGUAAACUACCAAGAUAGGGUGACCACAGCGUGAGUCAGUGGCAGGAUCCCACUCACAGGUGCUGUGUUUGAUUUCGCUUUUAAUUAUUAGCAUCCCUUGUUCUUAGGUCCUAUGAGCUGUGUUGGAGGAAAUACUUGAAACUGGUACCCACCAGGAGCAUCCCUUCCUCCGUCUGGGGAUCUGGAGUAGUGAGCUACAGCGCUGUCACCCAUCUCACACUGGACUUGACAUUCCAGAAUUGGAAUUGGCUCCACAUCAGGGAGCACAGUCCAUGAGGAAAGGCUUCAAAGUACCUCUGCUCUUUGACCAGAAGACGUAAAAUUUCUAUUACCAUAUUUUACCAUUCUCUUCGUGUAAGUAGAUUGGAUCUUUAAAGAAGUUCAGUUUCUUGAAUGUUAUUGUGUGUUUACUAUGAGCGAUGUGUGGUAGGUUAUAAGGGAGACGGCGAUGAAUAAGUAAAGGACUUGGGGGUGGGAAGAGUAUAUGGAAAUAACUGAAACAUGAAGCCAAACAAACAGCAAAGUGUCAGACCUGGAAGAACUGGGUUUGAUUCUGGUCUUCACUACCUACAGGACUUAGAGACUGUGUGAUUUUAGGAAUAUGGAGGUUUCUUCCUUGAGCAUCCUUGAGCAUCACCCUCAUAUGGAGAAUUAAAAAUAGCCCUGGGAAGGAAAGGCAGGGAGCGGAGUAUUCCAAGAUUCAUUGUUUAUGCACCACACCCAGUG